UUUGUGUUUUAUUUUUUUGUUUUUGAUUUGUUUUUUUAUAAACUUUAUUCAUCAGAUGAAGAAGUUUAGUCGAACAGGCCGAAUCCCAUGUCGUCAUCGGACUCCUCAGAC